UUUAAGUGUAACUAUGAGCUUUUUGUCCAAUUUGAAUCGUCUGUCUUAUUUAAAAUUUUUUUUAUAAUUAGUAUUUUUGUUGUUAGGAGAUGAUAAAACAUGAAAGUACUUUACUCAUGACUUAUGUUUAAAAUUUUUUUAAAAAAAAUUUUAAAUAAAAUCAUAGGUGCAUUUAAAAUGGGAUAGAUUGACCGGAG
rnacentral:pre_miRNA from 1 species